rfam:Bacillus sporothermodurans strain B4102 NODE_37, whole genome shotgun sequence.
ACGAUGUUCCGCUGCAUGGAUAGAUUUGUAUGAGCAUCUG